rnacentral:lncRNA from 10 species
GAAAGAGCACAGUGGCUGCAGCACAGAGCGUGAAUUGAGGGGAGCAAGACUGGCCACGGCGAGAAGGCAACACGCAGGUGAUCUUACAGCUGGAAAAUCAGUGGGUGAAAACGGAGAUACAGCAACUCUCACAGUGACGGGCUCUUGGCAGUCUGAAGAAGCAUGAACCAGAACUAAGCCUGGUCUCUCAGGAUUUGGUGGAUGUCUAAGUUGCAGGGUUAAGAAGUUGCAGUUCCUUCUUUCAACUCAACCUCUAGCAGUUGGAUACAGAAGCAAUUGUCGAACCUGGGCACCUAAGGGGACAGGACUGUCAGUGUCCUGGAAAUCAUGUUCUUCUCUUUGGUUUUCACCACCUCUUAAUGGCAUAUCUUCUAUAUUUCCUUUAAUGCGAACACAGGUAACGAGUUGGUUAUAACCCUUUUCUCAGGGCCAGGCUGCCAUGCCAUCGCUCCUCCAGAGAGCAAACACGAAACAUGAUCCUAUGGCAAGAACAUACAAUGCCAGGUCCCUGGAUUUAGGUCCUGCUCUGUCAUUGACUGUAUAUUCCCAUAAAGAAGAUUAAAACUCUCCACGCCUUGGUUUCCCUGUUUAUACAGGACAAGGGUAGUAACCCCUGGGCUCUGUGCCUUGUUAGUGACUCGCAAUGGUAAAGCAGGGGAAUGAACUGAAAGCCUUACAGAAAUGUAAGGUCUUCCGCGUCAUUAGAUGCUGUGAGACAAUGGAAACCAACUCAAAUGCCUGGCGCCCUUAGAGCCGCUGAUGGAACUGAACAAACUGCUAUUGCUUUACACUCCCAAUGGAAGGGUGCUGGCUCUCAGUGUUUGCCCUUACCUCUCCUCCUCUUCUAUAAACACAGGACUCCAUUCUGAAAAUUGUCACAGAAUUGUCAAUUCCUCUGACCCACAGUGUUAGAUGUCCAGUGGAAUUGACAGGACAUCAUACAUUUCAAUUAGUUCCACUCUCCAUUGCUCUGGAGGGUGAGGUGCUACCUCACCUUCACGGGGAAGACCCAAUGUUCCAAGGAUGUGCAGCGCGGGAGGGCCCCAAACCAUUCAGACCAUACUCAUGUUAAGGCCCAUGUAACGGUGGGGUGUGCUCAAGGGCAGAAAAUAGCCCUGU